rnacentral:rRNA from 1 species
GCAUAGCGGUAUCCUGAGUAACGCGGGACACGAGGAAUCCUGCGCGAAUCUGCCGGGACCAUCCGGUAAGGCUAAAUACUCCCGUGAGACCGAUAGCGAACGAGUACUGUGAAGGAAAGGUGAAAAGAACCCCGAGCAGGGGAGUGAAAUAGUUCCUGAAACCAUACGCCUACAAGCGGUCGGAGCAUCUUACGAUGUGACGGCGUGCCUUUUGCAUAAUGAUCCUACGAGUUACCGUCACUGGCGAGGUUGAGUGUCACGAGACACGUAGCCGCAGUGAAAGCGAGCCUGAAUAGGGCGCACAGUCAGUGGGGGUAGACGCGAAACCAAGUGAUCUACACUUGGCCAGGAUGAAGUCCCGGUAACACGGGAUGGAGGUCCGCACCAAUAAGCGUUGAAAAGCUUCUGGAUGAGCCGAGUGUAGGAGUGAAAGGCCAAUCAAACUUGGAGAUAGCUCGUACUCCCCGAAAGGCAUUUAGGUGCCGCGUCGGAUGGUCACCGUGAGAGGUAGAGCGACCGAUAGGACAAGAGGGCUUCACCGCCUAUCGAGUCCUGACGAACUCCGAAUGCUCACGGUCUGCAGUCCGGCAGUAAGGGGGCGGGUGCUAAGGUCCGUCCCCGAGAGGAGAAGAAUCCAGACCGCCGUCUAAGGUCCCGGAGUUCUGCCUGAGUUAGUCUAACGAAGUCUGGUCCCUAUGACAGCUAGGAUGUUGGCUUGGAAGCAGCCAUUCAUUCAAAGAGUGCGUAACAGCUCACUAGUCGAGGGUCCGGGCAUGGAUAAUAAUCGGGUAUAAGGCAGACACCGAAGGCGCGGGAUAGCAAUUAUAAAAGUAUCGGUAGGGGAGCAUACUCACAGCGUCGAAUGGUGUACGUAAGUUAUCCUGGAGCGGUGAGUAAAGCAAAUGUAGGAAUAAGUAACGAUAAGGAGGGUUAGAUUCCCUCCCGCUGUAAGACCAAGGUUUCCCGGGCAAUGCCAAUCAGCCCGGGGUCAGUCGGGUCCUAAGUCUAAGCCGAACGGCGAUGGCGAUGGCAGAGACGGUUAAUAUUCCGUCACUGCCGCAUGGGGCGACGUGGAGACGGAGCAGUGAAACCACCGCGGGGCGACGGAAGUCCCCGUUGAAGAGUGUAGGCGUUGAGGAUGGCAGGCAAAUCCACCAUCCGAGCUGAACUUGACAGUACGGAGUCCUCCUCGGAGGAAUCUGAUAGUGUGGGUAAACAUACUCCCGAGAAAAUCCGCUAAGCUUAACCCAUGCGGCACCCGUACCGCAAACGGACACACGUGGUCGGGUAGAACAUACUAAGGCGUUGAGAGAUUCAUGGUUAAGGAACUAGGCAAAUUGACCCUGUAACUUCGGGAUAAAGGGUCCUCGUGAUGAGCGAGGCGCAGAGAAUAGGUCCAGGCAACUGUUUAACAAAAACACAGGGCUGUGCAAACUCGAAAGAUGACGUAUACAGCCUGACACCUGCCCGGUGCCGGAAGGUUAAGAGGAGAUGUCAC